rnacentral:rRNA from 1 species
AUACGUAGGUGACAAGCGUUAUCCGGAUUUACUGGGCGUAAAGGGCGUGUAGGCGGUCUUGCAAGUCAGAAGUGAAAUUCCUGAGCUCAACUCGGGCGCUGCUUCUGAAACUGCAGGACUUGAGUGCUGGAGGGGAUAGCGGAAUUCCUAGUGGAGCGGUAAAAUGCGCAGAUAUUAGGAAGAACACCAGUGGCGAAGGCGACUUACUGGGCCGUAACUGACGCUGAGGCGCGAAAGCGUGGGGAGCGAACAGGAUUAGAUACCCUGGUAGUCCACGCGGUAAACGAUGAAUGCUAGGUGUAGGGGGUAUCGACCCCUCCUGUGCCGGAGUGAACACAAUAAGCAUUCCGCCUGGGGAGUACGGCCGCAAGGUUGAAACUCAAAUGAAUUGGCGGGG